CGAAAUGAGGCAGUCCGAGAAGAAAAGAAAGCAAAGAGAGGCAAGAGCAAGAAAAGAACGUUUAGCACUCGCGGCGCAAAGAAUGUUGGAGCAGCCUCCG
rnacentral:sRNA from 1 species